AUGCCGAGGGCGUCCAAGAAGAAGCAGCGGUCGGCGUGGGGCUCCCUGUUGGGCAGCUGCCUGGGCGGGGGCGGCGGGAAGACGGGGAAGCAGGUCCGCCCCGGCCCUGGCCCGAGGAAGCGCGAGUCGUCGGCGGCGGCGGUGGGGGGCGGAGUCGGGCAGCGGCUGUCGUUCACGGACGUGAUGAGCAUGAGCGCGGCGUCGGAGCAGGAGCUGUCGGUGUCGCUGGUGGGCUCCAACCUGCACGUGUUCACGGUGGCGGAGCUCAAGGCGGCGACGCAGGGGUUCCUGGACGACAACUUCCUCGGCGAGGGCGGGUUCGGCCCCGUGUACAAGGGCGCCGUGGACGACAAGGUCAAGCCGGGGCUCAAGGCGCAGCCCAUCGCCGUCAAGCUCUGGGACCCCCAGGGCGCCCAGGGCCACAAGGAGUGGCUGUCGGAGGUGAUCUUCCUGGGGCAGCUCCGGCACACGAACCUCGUGAAGCUCAUCGGUUACUGUUGCGAGGACGAGAACCGGCUGCUCGUCUACGAGUACAUGGCCAAAGGCAGCCUCGAGAACCAUCUCUUCAAAAAGUUUCCUCCCGUUCUGUCGUGGUCAACCAGGCUGAACAUCGCAGUGGGCGCCGCCAAGGGCCUCGCCUUCCUUCAUGACGCGGAGAAGCCCGUCAUAUAUCGCGACUUCAAGGCAUCCAACAUCUUACUCGAUCCGGACUACAAGGCGAAGUUAUCUGAUUUUGGCCUUGCAAAGGAUGGACCAGAAGGUGACGAGACCCAUGUCUCGACACGUGUCAUGGGCACCCAUGGCUACGCCGCACCAGAGUACAUCCUAACCGGUCACCUGACAGCGAAAAGCGAUGUUUACAGCUUUGGUGUCGUUCUUCUAGAAAUCCUCACUGGAAGACGAGCCGUGGACAAGACUAGACCUAGUAGGGAGCACCACCUAGUCCAGCACAUGCGGUCGUGGCUCAAAGACCCAGAAAAGCUAGGAAAAAUCAUGGACCCUGCUUUGGAGGGUAAGUAUGCCACCAUGGCAGCUCAUAAGGCAGCCUUGGUGGCAUACCAGUGCCUGAGUGGCAGCCCAAAGAGCAGGCCGGACAUGUCGAAGGUCGUGGAAAACCUAGAACUGCUGCUCAACCUCGUGGAUGAUGUUCCCGGUAAACCGGUGAUGCAUGUAGCUUCACAAGAUGACACUAGGAAGGAAAAAACAACAAGAAGAAAUGGGGAAAGGGAGAGCAAUAAUGGGGGUCACCGAAAUAAAGCCAGGCCUCCGAAGAAGACCGUUAGAGGGAGGGGGAACCAAAGCGAGGAGCUUUGGGAGUGGAACACGCCUGGAGAAGGGAAAAUCUAG
rnacentral:rRNA from 1 species